rnacentral:scRNA from 1 species
AGUAUUUCAGCGAUGCGUAGAUUUCUCAUCGG